CAAGUCGUGCGAGAAAGAUCUCUCCGGAGAUCGAGUACAGCGGCGCACGGGUGAGUAACGCGUGGAUGAUCUACCCUUGGGACUGGGAUAACAGUGGGAAACCGCUGCUAAUACCGGGUACGCUUCAUUUUAUGAUGAGGGAAAGGUGGCCUCUGUUUCAAGCUACCGCCCGGGGAUGAGUCCGCGUCUCAUUAGCUUGUUGGUGGGGUAAAGGCCCACCAAGGCGACGAUGAGUAGCCGGCCUGAGAGGGUGGCCGGCCACACUGGGACUGGAACACGGCCCAGACUCCUACGGGAGGCAGCAGUGGGGAAUAUUGCGCAAUGGGCGAAAGCCUGACGCAGCGACGCCGCGUGAGGGAAGAAGGCUUUCGAGUCGUAAACCUCUGUCAGGAAGGAAGAACCGCCAGUAUUCGAAAGGAUAUUGGUCUGACGGUACUUCCAGAGGAAGCACCGGCUAACUCCGUGCCAGCAGCCGCGGUAAUACGGAGGGUGCGAGCGUUAAUCGGAAUUACUGGGCGUAAAGCGCGCGUAGGCGGCUGUGCAAGUCAGGCGUGAAAGCCCUCGGCUCAACCGGGGAACUGCGCUUGAAACUGCACGGCUUGAGUCCGGGAGAGGGUGGCGGAAUUCCGGGUGUAGGAGUGAAAUCCGUAGAUAUCCGGAGGAACACCGGUGGCGAAGGCGGCCACCUGGACCGGUACUGACGCUGAGGUGCGAAAGCGUGGGGAGCAAACCGGAUUAGAUACCCUGGUAGUCCACGCUGUAAACGAUGGACACUAGGUGUCGGGGUUUAACUUCGGUGCCGGAGCUAACGC
rnacentral:rRNA from 1 species